GAAGAAAUUACCUUUCCAUGAAAAAGAUUGAAAAAGGAAGAUGGUGAAUGAACUCUGAAAUGCAAGGCUUCACCUCCACAGGCUUGAGCUCAUUAACAGACAUCCUAAUGCCUGCAGUUGGCCUCUGAUUUCCUUAGAGCGGAGCACAGGUGGAUACUGGGGCCAAAUGAUCUGCCUCAAGGAAGUCUCUGUCAGAAAGCCAAACCUCUGCUGUUCCAGAAUAGUUCACCCUAGCUCCAGUGAUCUUCAUGCUCCAGAAGAUGAUUUCUGAAACCAGGGCCUAGUCUACUCUUGUUUGAGAUUAAGCUUAAUAUGGGAUAUUCUUUAUCUACUUGACUGGAUUAUACUUCUGAGAAAGCAGUGGGGUGGCAACUCUGCAAACUGGAAGAGGAAUGACUCUGCAAGAGGGAAGGAAGAAUUAGCAAUGAGAGGAGAACACAGUAAAAAACAUAGUUGGGUAAAA